AGUGGCGAACGGGUGAGUAACACGUGAGUAACCUGCCCUUGACUUUGGGAUAACUUCAGGAAACUGGGGCUAAUACCGGAUAGGAGCUCCUGCUGCAUGGUGGGGGUUGGAAAGUUUCGGCGGUUGGGGAUGGACUCGCGGCUUAUCAGCUUGUUGGUGGGGUAGUGGCUUACCAAGGCGGCGACGGGUAGCCGGCCUGAGAGGGUGGACGGCCACAUUGGGACUGAGAUACGGCCCAG
rnacentral:rRNA from 1 species